AUUGAACGCUGGCGGCAGGCUUAACACAUGCAAGUCGAGCGGGGGAAGGUAGCUUGCUACCGGACCUAGCGGCGGACGGGUGAGUGAUGCUUAGGAAUCUGCCUAUUAGUGGGGGACAACAUCUCGAAAGGGAUGCUAAUACCGCAUACGUCCUACGGGAGAAAGCAGGGGAUCUUCGGACCUUGCGCUAAUAGAUGAGCCUAAGUCGGAUUAGCUAGUUGGUGGGGUAAAGGCCUACCAAGGCGACGAACUGUAGCGGGUCUGAGAGGAUGGUCCGCCACACUGGGACUGAGACACGGCCCAGACUCCUACGGGAGGCAGCAGUGGGGAAUCUUGGACAAUGGGGGGAACCCUGAUCCAGCCAUGCCGCGUGUGUGAAGAAGGCCUUAUGGUUGUAAAGCACUUUAAGCGAGGAGGAGGCUACUCUAGUUAAUACCUAGGGAUAGUGGACGUUACUCGCAGAAUAAGCACCGGCUAACUCUGUGCCAGCCGCCGCAGUAA
rnacentral:rRNA from 1 species